UUUGGGGAGGUUCAAGCUUUAAUUAGGGGGGUGACGGGGUCAGCAGAGCCCUCCAAAAUGCAUCCAGGUUAGGGGCAGUCCACGGAGUAAUUAGCAAGCUAGUUGGGGAGGGCCGCGGAAAACAAUAGUCCCUGCUGUUUGCUCGAGUUCGCGCCGGUUGAACUGACUUAAUUGGCCGUGUAAUAAUACCGACCAGAGGAGGGCUUGCGUGAAAGGGCUGUCCCGGUUCCCACAAACCCCGGGGCCAGCGCCAAUCUAGCCCGUGCUGAAAGACCGACGGGAAGAAAAGCGAAGUGAAGGAUUCCGCCGUUAAUUAGGCGCGCCCUGUUGCCAUAGCCACACACGGCCCAGCAGGCCUGCUGCGCGCGGAGCACCGUGGGUAGUCAAACUCAGACCGGCCGCUGAUUAGGGUAUUGUUCCCGUGUUUAUCAUCGGGGAUGUUAAUUACUUCGACGAAUGAUCGUUAUUAAUGAAUUUCAAUUGGACUUUGUUUCGCUCAUAUUGGGUUUAAAUCGAAGGUGCAACACUUCGGAAGCCCUGUUUACGUUAGUUCUGUCAGUAAUUAGAGGACUGGUUUAUAUGCUGCUCACAACAAACACAGAUAGCACAUGGCAUGUCUCUCAGGCUGGAGUGGUUGUCAGGAGCAGAGCGUCCUCCACUGGCUAUGCAGGAAAACAUAUUUCGACUGAAGAGAAACCGGCUGUUUUAUAGAUCAAUAACAGGUCAGUGCUGGAGGUUACGGCUGUGACGGCAAGGUCAGAAUCUUCACCGUCGUUUGACAUGCUUUCUGCCACGGAAAUGUAGAGGUGAAGAUGGGGUGAGUGGAUGAGCCUGCUGCAUGUAACCUGACAUUUUUAAAUAGGAGCCAUGGUGGUCUCCACUCGAAUCGAACAGAAGUGUCAUCACAUCAUAGACAUCCAACUCAAAUCAAGUAAAAGGUCUUUAGCAGCACCUCAAUGUGUUCUGGACCGUUGAAAGACAUUUAAAAUCAAUAAUGAACCAAACCAUCUAGCGCUGCCAGAGAGAGCGCAGAAAGUUAAAUGACUCAUAAAUAAUCUUAGCAAAUAACAGCAAUUUCAGAUCUAAUAGAGCGAUUUCACAAGUCCAUGAACAUGGCCACACACACACAUUUACACACAUCUAAGAACACAUAAAUGUACACUCCAUUAAACAUUUUAAAUGAAGACUUAGUCAGAGGAUUACAACUUCCAGACAUCUCCAGCAGCGUCUGUGAGCCACAGUCUUUAUUUAUCCUAAUUGCUUUUAACUUAAUGAAAUGGUCAGUUAUGAUAUUUUGACACUUACCUGUUGAGUGUUGACUAGACUAUAUAUCAGCACGAUGUAUGACAAUAUUAUUAUAACCUGGUUUUCAGCAACACUUGGCAAAAUAAUUACAUCCUUAUGUGGGUCCAUUUAAAAGCCAUAUCACACGGCUCUUUAGUCGUAGACACAAGGUUGCAGGUAACCAUUUCCAAUUUUAAUAUUCAGUUUUGCUGAGUUAAUACUUUAAAUUACAAAAAUUCUUGUAUUCAGUUCAGUUAAUACUUUAAAACACAAGUAAUUCAUAUAAAGUGUAUAUUUUACAUUCGCUUACAGUUUGCGACAGAAAACGCAGACACUUCGACUUUUUUUCAACAUUAUGACUUAAAGGGGGUAUAGGACACUUCAAAUCCUGAGAAGAUACACCUGUAUAUUUAUCUCACUAUGUCUGAAUAUAAUCUCACUAUGUCAAAGUUUAUGAUGAAUAAAGGUUC